AGAGUUUGAUCAUGGCUCAGAUUGAACGCUGGCGGCAGGCCUAACACAUGCAAGUCGAGCGGUAGCACAGAGAGCUUGCUCUCGGGUGACGAGCGGCGGACGGGUGAGUAAUGUCUGGGAAACUGCCUGAUGGAGGGGGAUAACUACUGGAAACGGUAGCUAAUACCGCAUAACGUCGCAAGACCAAAGUGGGGGACCUUCGGGCCUCAUGCCAUCAGAUGUGCCCAGAUGGGAUUAGCUAGUAGGUGGGGUAACGGCUCACCUAGGCGACGAUCCCUAGCUGGUCUGAGAGGAUGACCAGCCACACUGGAACUGAGACACGGUCCAGACUCCUACGGGAGGCAGCAGUGGGGAAUAUUGCACAAUGGGCGCAAGCCUGAUGCAGCGACGCCGCGUGAGGGAUGGAGGCCUUCGGGUUGUAAACCUCUUUUAUCGGGGAGCAAGCGAGAGUGAGUUUACCCGUUGAAUAAGCACCGGCUAACUACGUGCCAGCAGCCGCGGUAAUACGUAGGGUGCAAGCGUUAAUCGGAAUUACUGGGCGUAAAGCGUGCGCAGGCGGUUCUGUAAGACAGAUGUGAAAUCCCCGGGCUCAACCUGGGAAUUGCAUUUGUGACUGCAGGACUAGAGUUCAUCAGAGGGGGGUGGAAUUCCAAGUGUAGCAGUGAAAUGCGUAGAUAUUUGGAAGAACACCAAUGGCGAAGGCAGCCCCCUGGGAUGCGACUGACGCUCAUGCACGAAAGCGUGGGGAGCAAACAGGAUUAGAUACCCUGGUAGUCCACGCCCUAAACGAUGUCUACUGGUUGUUGGGGUUUUUUAACCUUGGUAACGAAGCUAACGCGUGAAGUAGACCGCCUGGGGAGUACGGUCGCAAGAUUAAAACUCAAAGGAAUUGACGGGGACCCGCACAAGCGGUGGAUGAUGUGGAUUAAUUCGAUGCAACGCGAAAAACCUUACCUAGCCUUGACAUGCCAGGAAUCCUGAAGAGAUUCGGGAGUGCCCGCAAGGGAAUCUGGACACAGGUGCUGCAUGGCUGUCGUCAGCUCGUGUCGUGAGAUGUUGGGUUAAGUCCCGCAACGAGCGCAACCCUUGUCCUUAGUAGCCAGCAGUAAGAUGGGCACUCUAGGGAGACUGCCGGGGAUAACUCGGAGGAAGGUGGGGACGACGUCAAAUCAUCAUGCCCCUUAUGACUUGGGCUACACACGUGCUACAAUGGCGUAAACAAAGGGAAGCGAACCUGUGAAGGCAAGCAAAUCCCAAAAAUAACGUCUCAGUUCGGAUUGUAGUCUGCAACUCGACUACAUGAAGCUGGAAUCGCUAGUAAUCGCAGAUCAGAAUGCUGCGGUGAAUACGUUCCCGGGUCUUGUACACACCGCCCGUCACACCAUGGGAGUCGGAAAUGCCCGAAGUCGGUGACCUAACCGCAAGGAAGGAGCCGCCGAAGGCAGGUCUGAUAACUGGGGUGAAGUCGUAACAAGGUAGCCGUAUCGGAAGGUGCGGCUG
rnacentral:rRNA from 1 species